rnacentral:lncRNA from 1 species
AAUUAUUCAACUAAAAUGAUUAGAAUUUAUUCAAAUUAAAAUAUUUAUUAGAAAUUUUAAAUAGGAAAUUCUAAAUAAUAGUAAUUAUUUAAAAAAAAAAAUAUAAACGAAAUUAGCAUUGGAGUCCUAUUUUUUUUUACAGCUGGUACCUGCACACUCACCUACCACACUCAUUUCCCAUCACUACUAACAAUAGUAAAUGGCCGCCCCAUUUUUCGGAAACACGCUUCCCUCACAACUCACGCCACCUACCUUCACUCUCUCUCUCUCUCUCGAAAACAGUAACCAGAAAGAAAU